CAUUUUCUGCUUAUGCUCAGAAAAUAAGAUGUUAUAAAUAUAUUAAAUGUGUUCUCGAUUUGAAAACGGCCUCUGGACAACACCACAUUACUACAACAUGACGUUACGUCAAGCUUCUGCACUCCUAUGAGUUGAUCCAUGGAUUGAUUUGUGAAAUCAUGAUGAAUUCUAGUAAUUUGUCAGAACUGAUAGAAGCACUGGUUUUUGGUGUUCCUGAGAAAUAUAAUCAUAGGAGGAAGUCCACUAAUUUAGUUCUAAUUCAGUGUACAAUGCCUUUUUCAGGAUACUUGACAUUUGUUGAUGCUGGUACACAAUGGCUUGAUUUAGCUGUGGCCUUAAGUAAAAUAAUGUUGACAUCUUAUUAUUAUUAUGUCUGACUUAUGUGAGAAACAGCAUUUCUUUUCUUAAAGAGCUGCAGGCCAACAGAGUGGAAACUUUACAACAGAGGUUCUCAACGUUUUUAGGACCAAGGCACACCAAUGAUCGUACCAAAAUCCUCACUCAGAGAGUCAAAUAGUCCUCACUCCUUAAAGUGGUUGUUAGACAUUAUUGUUGGUUGUUAGACAUUUUUUUAUUGCUAGAGUAGGCAGGCAAUCACAACAUAUCCUAACAACCAGCAGUAAAUUAUCGGGCCAAAUGGAUCUCCGCUUCACAUUAUGAAAUCAAAACCAGAAAAAAGAUGUGAAUCUCUGAAUGUGUAAAACCAUUUCAACUUACUAAGCUGUGCCAUUGAUGUUUUAAAAACAGAUUGUGUUCCUCAAAAUUCCACAGCGCCCCUCACUUUACCUCACGACACAUCAGUUGAGAACCACGGCUUUAGACCAUUGAAAUAAAUCAAUUUGCUAUUGAA